rnacentral:rRNA from 1 species
GACGAACGCUGGCGGCGGGCUUAACACAUGCAAGUCGAACGACGUGGCGAACAGGUGAGUAAUACGUGGGUAACCUGCCCUCCUGUUUGGGAUAAGCCUUGGGAAAGGGGUCUAAUAACGAAUAAAGGGGGAUGGGCUCGGGGCCUAUGAGCUUGGUGGUGGGGGGAGGGCCUACCACGGCGGUGACGGGUAGCUGGCCUGAGAGGGGGACCUGCCACAUUGGGACUGCGAUACGGCCCAGACUCCGACGGGGUGCAGAAGUGGGGGAUAUGGCACAAUGGGCGAAAGCCUGAUGCAGCGACGCCGCGUGGGGGAUGAGGGCUUUCGGGUUGUAAACCUCUUUCGCUAGCGAACGGGUAGGUGGAGAAGAAGCGCCGGCUAACUACGUGCCAGCAGCCGCGGUAAUUC